UAGUGGCGAACGGGUGAGUAACACGUGGGCAAUCUGCCCUUCACUCUGGGACAAGCCCUGGAAACGGGGUCUAAUACCGGAUAACACUCUGUCCCGCAUGGGACGGGGUUGAAAGCUCCGGCGGUGAAGGAUGAGCCCGCGGCCUAUCAGCUUGUUGGUGGGGUGAUGGCCUACCAAGGCGACGACGGGUAGCCGGCCUGAGAGGGCGACCGGCCACACUGGGACUGAGACACGGCCCAGACUCCUACGGGAGGCAGCAGUGGGGAAUAUUGCACAAUGGGCGAAAGCCUGAUGCAGCGACGCCGCGUGAGGGAUGACGGCCUUCGGGUUGUAAACCUCUUUCAGCAGGGAAGAAGCGAGAGUGACGGUACCUGCAGAAGAAGCGCCGGCUAACUACGUGCCAGCAGCCGCGGUAAUACGUAGGGCGCAAGCGUUGUCCGGAAUUAUUGGGCGUAAAGAGCUCGUAGGCGGCUUGUUGCGUCGGUUGUGAAAGCCCGGGGCUUAACCCCGGGUCUGCAGUC
rnacentral:rRNA from 1 species